UCCAUCGUGUCAAUACAGCAAAUUUAAAGGACACAAAAACGCGUUAUUACUAUUAGCAGCGUUAAGUACAUCCAACCUAUAAUUCUCAGAAGAAUCAUUUUGAUUUUAGCAGUGGAACACUCUCAAUAUACAUGUGCACCUAAGCCACCUGUGUAAGCUAAUGCUUUCCAUCUCUUACAUUCCCUGUUCCCCGUCCCCGUAGAUGAGUGCCAGAAUAUUGAAAACAACAUGAACUUUUAGCACUCACUCUACUGCUUCAUAAGGGGAUUGCAUCUGUUCGACAUUUUUCUGCAGUUGAGAUCAAAGGAGGUGAUGCCAAGGCAUGGAUAGAUCAAAAUUAGAGCAUGGGACAGGUAACUUUGUGUGUUCUUGCUUAGUUGGUCAAAACCCAAUAAAAGCUCGUCAAGCAGAACACGUUAAAAUAUCUCAUUUAUCUGUUCAAACACUGCUCGUCAUGAGUUCUGGAUCUGGUCUGGUGCUUCUCUCGCUGUCAGCAUUCACACUUUCUGAUCUUUUUGCAACACUCAUGGAUGUUUGUGUUCCCAAAAGAGAAAUGAGAGAAUUACUUAAAGGAAUUAGUCUGUCACCUUUUGAAGCUUCUACGGAUGGUUCGGCACUAGAAAAAGUACGUUUGAGCUGAGUCUUUUGACAGACUAUCCGGCCCUUAUUCCAUCCAGGAAAACUAAAUGAUGAUGAAAUAGUGUCCUUUAGAAAAGAAUAUGCAGCCUUAGCAACUGGCAAAUCCCUAGUUACUGAACUCUUCUCUGUCUGACCUCGUACGACUACAAUAGAAGCCAGUUGGGGAAGCUCCUCGCCUUUAUG
rnacentral:misc_RNA from 1 species